UGGGGGAUAUUGCACAAUGGGCGAAAGCCUGAUGCAGCGACGCCGCGUGGGGGAUGAAGGCUUUCGGGUUGUAAACCUCUUUCGCUAUCGAACAAGGCCCGCUUAGGGUGGGUUGAGGGUAGGUGGAGAAGAAGCGCCGGCUAACUACGUGCCAGCAGCCGCGGUAAUACGUAGGGCGCGAGCGUUGUCCGGAGUUAUUGGGCGUAAAGGGCUUGUAGGCGGCUUGUUGCGCCUGCUGUGAAAACGCGGGGCUUAACUUCGCGCGUGCAGUGGGUACGGGCAGGCUUGAGUGUGGUAGGGGUGACUGGAAUUCCAGGUGUAGCGGUGGAAUGCGCAGAUAUCUGGAGGAACACCGAUGGCGAAGGCAGGUCACUGGGCCAUUACUGACGCUGAGGAGCGAAAGCAUGGGUAGCGAACAGG
rnacentral:rRNA from 1 species